rnacentral:lncRNA from 1 species
ACAAUAAAAACGACUUUAACGAUAAUAAUAGACUUCGAAAUGGUAAUAAGUAAAUAAACAAAGUCGAAUAUACUACUGGCGUUGCUCCAGCAUGGCCAUAGCUUUAAGGGUGAAAUGUAGAAAAGAAAUAAAAGAACUAUACAUCAGUUCUGCUUGUAAUAGCAUUUGAUUAGUGUAGGGAGGAACUUUGGUAUAAAUGUGACUCGUGUCAAGAAGCUGCUACCCAGAACCAAAUUACCCUGGCGGCGUGAUAUUACAUGCAUUUGCGUUAAAAGUGAAGGCGCGUGGCUUAAUGGUCAGGGCAUUCGGCUUACAAUCGUAAGGUUUUGCGUUCAAUUCUCGGUGAUGCGUUGUCCUUGGUUAUGUAUGUAUGUAUGUAUGUAUGUAUGUAUGUAUGUAUGUAUGUAUGUAUGUAUGUAUGUAUGUAUAUAUAUAUGUAUACAUAUAUAUAUAUAUAUAUAUAUAUAUAUAUAUACAAGAUAAGAAAAUGGAAAAGCACAUCUAAAUCAAAUAUCAAUUACCAGAUAAUACUCAAUCACAUACUUUAUUAAACCACCACAUAAGAGACUGUAGGGUUAAAUAUAAAAAGCAGAACAAAUCAGUGUACAUAAAGGAAUGUACGUAAAAAAGUGUACAUAAAAGAGUAAUGUUGUAUAAUAAUUAGAAUAUAUAUAAAAAAGAUAAAUACAAGUAAAUAUAAAUAUAAGCAUACAUUAGAUCUUACAGCUGUUUCGGCCAUGUCGAUAAUUAUGUCUCAUUUUACCAAUAUUAGCCCUUUAUGGUUGGUCAAUAUAUAGAUAUAAAUGAGACAUUAACAAAAAUAUAUCACAAAGCCUCUUCGGAGAUUAUGUAAUAUAACACAGUCUACACAUAUACCCACAUGAGUGCAUUUACAACCCCUAUCUCAAUUUUGUGUAUAUAUAUAUAUAUAUAUAUAUAUAUAUAUAUAUAUAUAUAUAAUAGAAAUAUUAAAAUUACUAAGUCUCUAUAAAAGAGAUUACGGCAGCGUUUACUGGAAAUUAAUUGUUAUCGCCAUAUUAAUAUGGCAUUCUUAUAGAUAUAAGAAUAAUCGCUGCCAUGGUCAGCUCCAUGAGGCCACCGCCAUCAAGAUAGCUAUUGAUACACGAUCUGUAUCCAUUAUAACCUUCGAACAAGGGAGGUCAGCCGCUUCACACUGCCAGUCCGACAGCUACAGACGCGUUUCGGGGUAUUACCCCUUGUCAAUGUAGCGCAGUCAGACCCGCAGGUGUCGCCGCUGACUGCGUUACAUUAAUAUGGCGAUAACAAUUAAUUUCCAGUAAACGCUGCCGUAAUCUCUUUUAUAGAGACUUAGUAAUUUUAAUAUUUCUAUUAUUGAAAACAAGUGGAUGUAUUCCACUGAAACUAGGUAAAUAGAAGCCUUCGAACAGAGACGUCAGUGGCGACACCUGCGGGUCUGACUGCGCUACAUUGACAAGGGGCAAUACCCCGAAACGCGUCUGUAGCUGUCGGACUGGCAGUGUGAAGCGGCUGACCUUCCUUGUUCGAAGGUUAUAAUGGAUACAGAUCGUGUAUCAAUAGCUAUCUUGAUGGCGGUGGCCUUAUGGAGCUGACCAUGGCAGCGAUUAUUCUUAUAUCUAUAAGAAUGCCAUAUUAAUAUGGCGAUAGCAAUUUAUAUAUAUAUAUAUAUAUAUGAAUAAAAAAUGGAGUUAACGCAGGUGUAAUCAAAUAUUUUUACUUUCGACACAUGUUUCGAAAAUUCCACUGAUACUAUUCAAAAGAAUAAAUGGUAUAAACAAUGCAAUCUUCUCCUCAGGAAAGUGAAAAAAACGAAACUCGUCAAUAAGACAUUUUAGCAAAAAAUGAUGGAUUUGUAUAGCGAUAGACAAUUCUGUAAUUCUGAGCUAUUUUUAAUUAUUUUUUCUAAAAAUACUCUAGUAAACACGGUUAUCGAGCGAGCAUACAGAUGUAAGCAUUGGCAAAAACAUACAUUUAGUGCAUAUAAGUAGUCUCUAUCAUUAUAUAUAAUUUAAACUUUAAUUUCCUUUAUAUUUAACAUUCACUAUUAAUAUCCUUACACUUUCUGUUAGCUACUUAUGACGUUAUAUCAUAUAAUGUUUUUUUUUAACAAUAUUAAUAGCGUUCUGUCUAUCGCUAUACAAAUCCAUCAUUUUUUGCUAAAAUGUCUUAUUGACGAGUUUCGUUUUUUUCACUUUCCUGAGGAGAAGAUUGCAUUGUUUAUACCGUUUAUUCUUUUGAAUAGUAUCAGUGGAAUUUUCGAAACAUGUAUCGAAAGUAAAAAUAUUUGAUUACACCUGCGUUAACUCCAUUUUUUAUUCAUAUUAUUCAAAAUAUUCAACGUAAACACGAAGUUUCUACCUUUAUAAACAAGGUGUUACAACACCUUUACUUGUGAGAUUUUUGCUGCCCUGGUAACUAUUUAUUUUUUUUUUCCGUGUUAAUUGUUAACAAGGUAAAAAUACACUCAUCUAUUUAUAUAUAUAUAUAUAUACGACGGGCUUCUUUCAGUUUCCGUCUACCAAAUCCACAGACAAGGCUCUGGUCGGCCCGAGGCUAUAGUAGAAGACACUUGGCCAAUGUGCCACGCAGUGAGGCUGAACCCGGAACCAUGUGGUUGGGAAGCAAGCUACCUACCACACACCCACUCCUGCGCCUACACACACACACACACACACACACACACACACAUAUAUAUAUAUAUAUACAUCGGCUACGAUGAAACUUUCAUAAUAAGAUCAAAAUAACACAUUUUUGUCGUUUUUUUCAAAAUGCUCAGGUAUGACUUGAGUGAGAUUUGGUUGCUAUUUCUUGAAGGUCAAGAGACCGUGAAAAACAGAUUCUUUUUGCUAUUAAUGCUGUUAUUGAGCAGACGUAUGAACAAAGGUGUUCUAGUCGUGGCUACGUUGCUCUUUUUUUCCAAGCUGUAUUUGUUCUUUCAUAAUUAAAUUUGAGGGAGAUUUGUUCGAUACUUCUUGAAGGUCAAACGCCCACGCGAAAGAUAUUCACAGACACGUUUGAGAAGAAAGAAAGAGAGUUAUAUAUAUAUAUAUAUAUAUAUAUAUAUAUAGAGAUAUAUAUAUAUAUAUAUAUAUAUAUAUGAGAGAGCGAGAGAGAGAAAGAAAGAAAGGGGGAGAAAUUUGAGCUUCUUGCUAGAAAAAUGCAAAAAGAACUCGUAAGAGGAGUCAACGAUGUGAAAAACUCGGUCAGCAAAAUUAGGAUUCGUGGAGCUAGCAGCCAGCAGAUAGUUGAAUAGCAACAACAAUAACCACAACAACAACAAGAACAGCAAAGUAACAAGGACGACGGCAGUGGGAACAGAGUUCUCUCUCCCAAUAACAAAUACAAAGCUAAGAAUUCAUAAAAGAAACUUACGUAGUUAUAAUGAGAGGAGAAUGUAUAUAUGAACAGUGAAAGAAUAACUAUAGAAAUAUUCAGCAGAUAGGCGCAGACGUGGCUGUGUGGUAGGAAGCUUGCUUCCUAACCACAUGGUUCUGGGUUCAGUCCCAUUCUGUGUCACCUUGGGAAACUGUUUUUUUUUGUAAUAGAAGGUCGAUAACCAUUCCGGUUUGCAAUUUGUUUUGUUAACAGUGAGGCAUGACUAACUUCGACGUUGACGUUAGGGGACGGAUCAGUCUGUUUAGGGUUAUGUUUUGCGACAACACCGCCUCCGUGUUCUCUGCAUGUAAACAUUGCUCGUAGCGUAGCUCCUUAAGGCUAGCAGAUCUGUAUUCAUCUGUAUUGUUUUUGUUGAUAGAUUUAUCUCCGAACAUAGAUUUUUUUUCUUUUUUGUGCUGUUUUUAAAUUAUGAAUGGUUCACUCUGUCUGUGCUAGUUCGAAAAAUGAAAAUAAAAUUUUAAAAAAAGGGAAAGUUUUGAUUUUGUUAUUGCUUCGUUUGUAACACGUGCUUUCAUAGGCGUGAGUGUGUGUCCUGUAAAUUUCACGUGGUUGUGUAAACAUUGGGAUGUACGUGUAGUCCUAUGGGUAUCAAAAUGUAUAUAUGAUUGUGUAGGCAUUCGAGUGUAUACGUAGUCACUCAAUUUAUGUACUUACUAUUUUGUUCCGUUUCUAUUUUAUAAUUUGUAAACAUUCCGUGUUGAUAUCGCGUGUUUCGCACGUUUCAUUGAGACACCGUGCGUAGGAGAAACUGUGCUUCGUAUGGCAGUAAAAUUUCGCUUCUUUUGUAGUAUUUUCGUUAAAAGGCUGCUUCCUUCAGGUCUUCGACAGGUUCCUUUAUCUAAUUCCAUCGAUGUUAUUGGAUUAGAUUUGCUUUUGAAUGGGGAGCCCGCUUUAGUACAUCCAUGUUGUUAUUCAGCGCGGGCCUCUUAUUAUUAUUAUUAUUAUUAUUAUUAUUAUUAUUAUUAUUAUUAUUAUUAUUAUUAUUAUUAUUAUUAUUAUUAUUAUUAUUAUUAUUAUUAUUAUUAUUAUUAUUAUUAUUAUUAUAGGCGAUGAGCUGGUAGAAUCGUUAGGGCAUAGGACAAGAUGCUUAGCAGCGUUUCUUGUUUAUUUACUUGUUCUGAGUUCAAAUCCUUCCGAGUUCGACUUUGCCUUUUAUCUUUUCGGAGUCGAUAAAAUAAGUACCAGUUGAGAAUUGGGAUCGACGUGAUCGACUAACCUCUCCCCUCAAAAUUUCAGGUCUAGAGCCUUUAGUAGAAAGAGUCAUUAGGUAAUCGAAGCGAGUAAUCAAUCACAAGUAUUUUGUGUUUUUAUUUUUGAAAUUAUAUUUCUUUACCGUUUGUUUUCUCUCCCGAAUACAAGUGGACUUUUUCUGAUCAAAAUUUACAGACAAAAACAGUAAUUUGAUUUAUACCCUAAGACCGUGAAGGCGCAUGGCUCAGUGGUUUGAGCGUUGAGCUCACAAUCAAGCGGUACUGAGUUCGAUUCCCAGACCGUGCUGUGUGUUGUGUUCUUAAGCAAGACAUUUUAUUUCACGUUGCUCCAGUUCACUUACCUGUGGAAAUGAGUUGUGGCGUCACUGGUGCCAAGCUGUAUCGGCAUUUACCUUUCCCUUGGAUAACACUGGUGGCGUGGAGAGGGGAGGCUGGUAUGCAUGGGUAAUUGCUGGUCUUCCAUGAACAACCUUGCCUGGACUUGUGCCUCGGAGGGUAACUUUCUAGGUGCAAACCCAUGGUCAUUCAUAGCUGAAGGGGUUCUCCUUCAACCCCAAUACAAUUUUGGGGGACCAAAAAAUUCCAUGUUAAAUGCAGUAGGAUUUAGAAAGAUAGAACAAAAUGUUUGAAUGUUUACACCACAUGUGUACACUAAAUAUACCGGAAAAUACGGUAAACCCAGGGUCCGAAUCCCGAGAAGGACGCUUCGCAUAAGAUGUCCCCAUGAAUAUAUUGUAACUCUUUUGCGUGAACCUAAAAAGCGCCCGAAAUGGCGCAGGAUGUCCCCAUCAGUGUACGGUAGCUCUGUGUUUGAAAUUAAAAAAUGUUAGGAAAUUAGGGCAGCGAGCUGGCAGAAUCGUUAGCACACCGGGCGAAAUGCUUAGCGGUAUUUUGCCUACCGUUACGUUCUGAGUUCAAAUUCGGCCGAGGUCGACUUUGCCUUUCAUCAUUUCGGUGUCGAUAAAUUAAGUACCAGUUACUUAAUGGGGUCGAUGUAAUUGACUUAAUCCAUUCGUCUGUCCUUAUUUGUCCCCUCUACGUUUAGCCCCUUGUGGGCAAUAGAGAAAUAAAAAUGUCAGGAUUGCGUCCUUCAUAAUUGUAUGGUAGCCCUAAAGUGUGAACCUAUAAACCGAGAAUGGUGUCCUAGAUUUCAGGAACUUCAAACACAUAUGACUACCAUUCUGUACGAGGGUUGCGGGUGGGGCGGAAGAAGGGGGUUGGGUGGAGAGAUUAAUUAAAAAUCUGUUGAGGGUAGCAAUUGUUGUGGUUAUGGCGGCGGUGGCAGUGGUGGUGGCGGUGGUGUAUGUGUGUGUUUGUGGUGGUGGUGGUGGUGGUGGUGGUGUUAAUGGAGGGGUAGGGUAGGGGUGAUGGUUUUUGUAUUAUGGCAGCGUGGCGCUGCUGAUGCGGUUGUUGAUGCUUGCGUUUGAGUGCGUGUGCGUUCGUGCGCGCGUGUAGGUGUAGGUGUGUGCAUGUGUGAGUGUAUGCAUAUGUGCGUGCGCAUGCGCGUGCGUCUGCGUGUGCAUGUGUGUGCUUGUACAUGUGUGUGUGCAUGUGCGUACGUGCAUAUCUGUGUGUGCAUGUGUAUGUAUGUGCGUGUGGUGCGUGUAUGCGUGUGUGUGUGUGUGUGUGUAUGUGUGUGUGUGUGUGUGGAGUGUUAGGCGUUUGUGUGUUACUGUGAUGAUGCUGAAGAUGAUGAUGAUGAUGUUAAUUAUGAUAAUGGUGGAGGUGGUGGUGAUGGUGUUGGGGGUAUAUGUGGGUGCUAUAACAGGGUUUGGUCGAUGGUUAAAGUGGUAGCGUUGGCAGCGUAGCUGGUGGCGUGGUGAGAAGAGAACAUGAGAGCGGGGGAGGCAACCCGACCGCCCCGUGUGACGCUUUUAAGGGGAGGGUGGCACGUUGUUGUUGUUGUUGUUGUUUUUAUAGGUGGUGGUGUGGGUGGUGGCGAUGAUAAUGUACUUUUAACAGGGUUGGUUUAACGCUAUUUGCUGUUGUUGUUGUUGUUGUUGUUGUUGUUGCUGUUCUCGUUGAUGGUGGUGGCGUCGACGGUAGCAAUGAGCUGAUGGUAGUAAUGGUGGGCUGAUGGUUGCUGUUGUUGUGGUGGUGGCAGUGGUAGGUGGUAGCAAUGCAGUGUUGGUGUUGAUGGUGAUGAUGGUGGUGAUGAUGGUGGUAGUGGUGGUGGUGGUGGUGGUGGUGGUUGUGGUGGUAGUGGUGGUGGUGGUGGUGGUGGUGGUGGUGGUGGUGGUGGUGGUGGUGGUGGUGGUGGUGGUGGUGGUGGUGGUGGUGGUGGUGGUGGUGGUGGUGGUGGUGGUGGUUGUGGUGGUAGUGGUGGUGGUGGUGGUGGUGGUGGUGGUGGCUGUGGUGGUGGUGGUAGUGGUGGUAGUGUUGGCACUCUCGAUACGUUAUCGCUAUUAAUGGAGAGUAUGUGUAUGUGUAUGUGUGUGUGUGUGUGAGUGGGUACGUCUGUGUGUGGGUGAGUUUGUAGAUGUGUCUGUGUGUAUGGUUGUGUGUGUGUGUGCGUGUGUGUAUGUGUGUAUGUAUGUGUGUGUGUGUGUGUGUGUGCGUGUGUGUGUGUGUGUGUAGGAUAACAUCAUUGUUACAGGUGGUGAUAUUUAUUGUACGGGUAGCGGUGUUGGCGUCGACUCGGGUGUUGAUGGAGCUAGUAUUUCAUUUACAUUAACACAUACCCGGAUACACACAUACACACGAAAACACACACACACACACACACACACACACAGAGGAACACACAGUCGCAAUUACGCACUAGCACACACACACAGGAACAAACAAUCGCAGAUACACACACACACACACACACACACACACACACACACACACACAGGAACAAACAGUCGCAAAUACGCACACACACACGCACACACACGCGUACGCGAGCGCUAAAUUCUUACGCAAACACACAGACAAGUGUGUAGAUAUCUUUCUACACACUUAACAUAUUUCAAUGCUUGUUCCCGUGACACACACACACACACAUACACACACAAAUAUACGUGCUCGUCAUACACACACACACACACGUGCUCGUCACAGCUUGUUUUAUUUUAAUAUUAUGAUUAAAGGCGUUGGGGACGACUUCGCGUUAAGUCGACUCUUCUCAGCCACGCAAGAAUCUCACCUCAUCCAACCAGACAGCGCCACCAACAUGGUAAAUAUACAUUCAGUAUUUAUCAUUUCUCCUAUAGGGGCACAACGCCUGAAAUUUUGGCGAUAGGGCCAAGCCCUUUACGUCGACCCCACUACUAAGCUGGUACUUACUUUAUCGAUCCUAAAGCAAAAAAAAAAAAAAAAAAAAAAUUUAAGGAAAUCCCAACUUCUGCUGAAUUUGAACUCAGAACGUUAGGAUAAACGAAAUGCAGCUUAACAUUUUACCCAGCGUGCUAAUGAUGCUGCCAGCUCGUCACCCCAGCACAAGCACACACAAACACACACACACACACAAACACACACACACACAGAAACACACACGCAUACGCACACACACACUAUAAAUACAUAUAAAAGCGGUGAACUGGCAGAAUCGAUGCUGCGCCGAACAAAACACUUAGCGACAUUUCAUCCGUCUUUUUGGUCUGAGCUGAAACCCCUCCGGAGUAGACUAUACCUUUCAUCCUUUCGGGAUCGUUAAAAUAAGUACCAGUCACACACUGGGGUCAAUUUACCCUUCCCCCGAAAUUGCUGGCGUUGUACCAAAACUCGAAACCAAUACAUACAUACAUAUACAUAUGUUUAUAUAUGUAUAUGGGUAUAUGAGUAUGUGUGUGCGCGUGUGCGGAUAUAUAUAUAUAUAUAUAUAUGUAUAUUGGUAUGUAUGUAUGUAUGUAUGUAUGUAUGUAUCUAUCUAUCUAUCUAUCUAUCUAUCUAUCUAUCUAUCUAUCUAUCUAUCUAUCUAUCUAGUUUUGUUGUGUAUUCUUCCCAUUCCCGGCAAGUCCCUUGCCGGUGCCUCCAAAGUGGAAUCAAUAUCAUCGAUAAUGGCCGAAAUUGCGUUUGACCCUCUGGCCGAUAACGGAUGAGGAGUUGGUGACCUUCCGUGUUUUUUGUUCGCCCGUGUAUUUAGUUUUUUUUUCUUUUCUUUAUUCACUACCCCUUUUUUAAAAUUAUAUAUAUAUAUAUAUAUAUAUAUAUAUAUAUAUAUAUAUAUAUAUACAUACAUAUAUAUAUAUGUUAAAUUUUCCGUUUGUUGACUUCUUUUUAUUUAAUCCCGAAGAAAAAAAAUAUAUACAUAUUACAAAUAUAUAUAAUUUUAUGUUUAAAUCUGAAUACAAAUUUCAUGCACGAAAAACUUUCAGAUAUUAAGCGAUUUAUAUGUGUGAAUUUCUGUGUGUGGUGUGUGUGUGUGUGUGUGUGUGUGUGUGCGUGCGCGCAUGUGUGUGUAUGUGUGAAGAAAAUUAGAGGCAGUCACAAUACACACACAGACACACACACACACACACACACACACACACACACACACACACAAAUUCACACACGCUCCCUUCACUCUUGAUGGUUACUCUUUGAUAAUUUGUUACUCUUGCAUGUUUCGCGUUUUGAAAAGCCUCUACUACUACUACUACUACUACAGCUGCUGCUGCUACUGGUACUGUUGCUGCUGCUGCUGCUGUUAUUGUUUCCUCAUCCAUUUCUGCCGCUCCACUCCACGCCCCCAUCUGCAGCCGCUACCCUUGUGCCUCCUCGAUCUUCUCACAUCACAGGUAACGGCGGUGCUGCCGUUUAAAAAUAACAAAUAUGCUUUGAAGAAGUCAUCUUUUUUGUUGCGCAACGGUCUAAUAAUAGAAUAAGAGACAGCGUUAAGCAUAUCCCCCCGUAGGUGUGCAUAGAUAUAUAUAUAUACUCUAAGUUAUAUAUAUAUAUGUAUAUAUAUGUAUGUAUAAUGAUUCACAAUCAAGGUGUAGAAAUGGUGUAAUCCGAAUGAAAUAGGUAAUGUAAUCCGAUGGUAGAAAAUUCAAAGUCAGCUGCAGGCGUGCAUACACACACACACACACACACACACACACACACACACACACACACAUAUAUAUAUAUAUAUAUAUAUAUAUAUAUAUGUAUGUAUGUAUGUAUGUAUGUAUAUAUAUAAAGUUAAUCCAAACAAGAAGACACAGAAAACACAACAACGCGAGGACGUGGAACAAGAAUAGUAUUAUUGGACGGUCAGGAAAGAAGGAAAGAAGGAGGGUUUAACGUUUCGAGCGGAGCUCUUCGUCGGAAACAUAGGAGAAGGAAAGAUCCAGAGAAGGGAAGACAGAGGAAAAAAAUCGCCAAUAUAUGUAUGUAUGUAUGUAUGUAUGUAUGUAUGUAUAUAUAGACAUAGAUGUAGAUGUAUAUAUUUAUAUAUGUAUGUAUGUAUAUAUAUAUAUAUAUAUAUAUAUAUAUAUAUAUAUAUAUACAGACGCACAUACCUAUAUAAAUAUACAUAUAUUUACACACACACACACACGCUAUUCUUAGAUAUUGACAGCAUGCCGAGUCGGUGAAUGUGGGGUUCGUGUGUACUGUAGUAACAAGUCGAAUGUUUUGUUGUGUGUACUUUGCAUCUGUGAUAACUGCACACUGUCUGUCUGUCUGCCUGUCUAUCUAUAUAUGCGUACACACACACACACACACACUCACGCACAGAUAUAUGAGUGUGUGUGUGUAUGUGUGUGUGUGUGUGUGAAGAAAAUUAGAGGCAGUCAUAAUAUUGGAUAAUUCUUUAUUGACGUUUUUCGUCCGAUUAAUCAAACUCUUCAAAAGAAAUCCAAGGUGUAUAUAUGUACAGACGCGUAGAUAACGACGCCAUGCCUCUUCAGUGGCGACUGGGUACAAGCGCACCGCAGAAAUAGGUCGAAUGCCUUCUUACGUGAACUUUAUAUCUUGGUUACCUACAUUUCAUAUAUAUAGAGAGAGAAAUAUAGGGAAUUCAGCACGCUAGAAAGAACAGAUAGGCUUUGUAAACCACAAAAAUAACGGAUAAAAUUCGACAAUGGUAAAUGUUUUUCAUUUCUAAAUUUAUUCCUGUCGAAUUUUAUUCGUUAUUUUUGUGGUUUACAGAACCUAGCUGUUCUUUCUAGCGUGCUGAAUUCCCUACAAGUGGAUUCCUUAUGUGUUUAAAUAUACACUAUAUCGUAUGACUAAUAUAUAGUCUUCUUGACUUAUUUUUUUUGCACGUUAGGCCACUGGAAAUGUAAAUUUUGAUUGAAUGUCUUAAUUUUAAUUAAAUUCCAUUUCCCCCUGAUAUGAUUAUAUAGAAAUAUAUAUAUAUAUUUCUUUAUUGCCCACAAGGGGCUAAACAUAGAGGGGACAAACAAAGGGAUUAAGUCGAUUAUAUCGGCCCCAGUGCGUAACUGGUACUUUAUUUAUCGACCCCGAAAGGAUGAAAGGCAAAGUCGACCUCGGCGGAAUUUGAACUCAGACCGUAACGGCAGACGAAAUACGGCUACGCAUUUCACCCGGCGUGCUAACGUUUCUGCCAGCUCGCCGCCUUAGGCGCAGGAGUGGCAUAGGCGCAGGAGUGGCUGUGUGGUAAGUAGCUUGCUAACCAACCACAUGGUUCCGGGUUCAGUCCCACUGCGUGGCAUCUUGAGCAAGUGUCUUCUGCUAUAGCCCCGGGCCGACCAAUGCCUUGUGAGUGGAUUUGGUAGACAGAAACUGAAAGAAGCCUGUCGUAUAUAUGUAUAUAUAUAUGUGUGUGUGUGUGUUUGUGUGUCUGUGUUUGUCCCCCUAGCAUUGCCUGACAGCCGAUAUUGAUGUGUUGACGUCCCCGUCACUAAGCGGUUCGGCAAAAGAGACCGAUAGAAUAAGUACUGGGCUUACAAAGAAUAAGUCCCGGGGUCGAUUUGCUCGACUAAAGGCGGUGCUCCAGCAUGGCCGCAGUCAAAUGACUAAAACAAGUAAGAGAGUAAAAGAGUAUAGAAAUAUAUAUAGGCUCUGCGGGAAGACGUGUAUUUCUCAACCUCAUGAUUCAGAAAAAAACAUGGGGAGGCAUGUUCUGUCUCACUGCCUGUCACUUUGGGCAAGUGUCUUCUAUAGCCCCGGGCCGACCAAAGCCUUGCGAGGAGAUUUGGUAGACGGAAACUGAAUGCGAAUGUUUUACAUAUCUUUACAGUUCCAGUGUUGGCUUGGAUCUGUACUCUUCGAAUCAGCUCUCUCUCUCUCUCUCUCUUCUGGUUUUGAGAAGCCUAAUUUCUCAGGAUUGAUAUGUGUGUAAGUACAAGUAUAUGUAUGUCUGUGUGUCUGUAUGUAUAUAUGUACAUCAGUACCUACGAAUGCAUGUCUGUAUGUAUGUAUGUGUAUGUAUGCAUCUCUUUAUAUAUGUCUGUACAUGUCUACAUCUAUGUAUGUAUGUAUGUAUGUAUGUAUGUAUGUAUGUAUGUAUGUAUGUAUGUAUUUUCCUUGGGGCUGGUCGGAUCGGAGCAAUCUUAAGAUAAAUCAGCCGAAAUUGCGAGGAUGAUCCGGUUCUUGACUGAAGAUUAGAGGCUUCGAAUGACCCGUCCGUUUUUUGUGUCGUCUAUUUGAGUGUUUUGCGUUCUUGUCUCAUUUUGUAUUUUUACAUGUAUUUUUUAUACAUAUGCUUACGGCCAUAUCACGUUGAAAGCACCGGUUCUCGUCUGAUCAUCGAAGUUAAGCAACGUCGAGCCUAGUCAGUACUUAGAUGGGUGACCGCUUGGGAAACCUAGGUGCAGUAAGCAUAGCACAUUGUUCAGCGGUGGUGCCCCAGCAUGGCCGCGGCCUUCGGGCUACAACAUUUUUAAGGAUUUAAGGAUAUGUAUGUAUGUCUUUCUGUAUGCCUGUAUUGCCUGUAUGUGCGUAUGCCUGCGUGUAUGUCAGCGUGUCUAUCUCUCCGUGUGUUUGUAUGUAUGUGUGUGUAUGUGUAUGUAUGUACGAAUCGGCGAACGAGGAAGAGAAAUUUGUUGUUGAGUACACUGGAGUUUCAUUUUAAAGUAUUUAAUAAUAGGUUGAGCUGAAUCUGACUGUUAUUAAAUAGUUAUAAGCUUACACACACACACACACACACACACACACACACACACACACACACACGCACACACGCACAUACAUAUUCAUAUAUUUCUUUAUUGCCCACAAGGGGCUUAACACAGAGGAGACAAACAAGGACAGACAAAUGGAUUAAGUCGAUUACAUCGACCCCAGUGCGUAAUUGGUACUUUAUUUAUCGCACGACGAAAGGAUGAAAGGCAAAGUCGACCUCGGCGGAAUUUGAACUCAGGACGUAACGGCAGACGAAAUACGGCUACGCAUUUCGCCCGGCGUGCUAACGUUUCUGCCAGCUCGCCGCCUUACAUACAUAUUCAUAGGUGUACAUGUGUGUGUGUGUGCACCCGUGUAUGCGUGUGUUUGUGUAAUGUAUAUGUAUAUCUAUGCAUUUGUAUGUGCGUGCUUGAAUAUUUUAUUAACGGAUUUAUGAUUUUUACACACACAUUAUCAAAAACAAAAAAAGAUUUACGAGCAGUUAGGGCGAUGAAAAGAGAACAGGAUAUUUAAUGAAAAUAUAUAACCUGUAAUUAUAAUAUUAUUCUCGCGUUAUAAUUCUCUUUACGAAAACACCAUUCAAAAUAUCUACUAGCAGUAUCGCCCGGUGUUGCUCGGGUUUGUUUCGACCCUUUAGAAUUGGAAUUUUUGAAAAGUAAAAAUUUUGCAUUAUGUAGCUUGUUAUUCUCUUUAAGUGAACAUUUUUUCUGGUUGAAAUACACCGAAAAAUGGCGAUACAGCAGUAAAAAAUUAUAAAAAAUAGGCAUUUUCAUAGAAAAAAAGCACCUUUUUGAUGUCAAUAAUUUUUGGUGCUAACAUGGUCCGAUUAUGAUAGAAGGCUUCUUCUAUCAUACUGUCAAUUUUGGUCAACUUGCGCCGCAGGGUCUCGGAGGAGAUAGUGCUAGUUGAAGGCUACCAAAUCUGCCAUACAUAGACAACCUCAGUUUUAUAUAUAGAGAGAUGAAAAAAUGUAUUCUUUAUGGUAGUUAGUGAUAUCUCUUGCAUGCCUUCCAGACUGACACGUACACAGACAUUCCGAACGACGUCGGCGUCUUUCUCAGCGUUGUGCUGCGGUUAUUGGGUCGUCCAGUCGGUGUCUUAUCUCGACUGUUUAUCACACGUACACUUCUGUAUAGCAUGCGAGUCCUUCCUCUUUGCGUUGAUGCCAUGCCAUGACUAUCAGCCCAGUAAUCGGAGCCUCGCAAAUUCUUUAUUGACGAUGCAUGGCAGCAUGUGUGCCUCAUCGCUUGACCCAGCAGAGAUAGCUAUGAGCGUUGGGGCGAUUGGGAGCUGCUCUUUUGACGCUGGCUGUUUUGGCGCGGCUGAAUGGAUACUGCGUCGCUUUGGCGACAGUACUUUCUGGCGCUGGAAGCAAACAUACGCACAUACAUAUACGCACGUAUAAAUACAAACAUGCACAUACGCACGCACUCACGCAUUCGCAGAAAUAUGUACAUAUACACAGAGAAUGAGAGAAAAAGAAAGAGAGCAACCUCUCUGUCUCUCUGUCUCUGUCUCUCUGUCUCUGUCUCUGUCUCUGUCUCUCUCUCUCUCUCUCUCUCUCUCUCUCUCUCUCGGUUGCAAUUAUCUUACAAACUACAGAAUUUUCUCAAGAAAGCCAAGAGAAAAAGAUGUUUUAUAAACACAUUCUACCAGUAUACGAAGUUUAAAAUAGACCACCUAAUCGAAGUUUAAAAUAGACCACCUAAUCUCAGGGUGUAGAAUCUUAGCACCUGUAGAAUAUAAAGCAAGGUAUGACAGAGUCGGCCAGUAUUUACACUGGAGAAUAUGUCGGCAUUAUAAAAUCGAAACCGCUGACAAAUGGUAUAAACAUCAUCCUGAAGCUGUGACUGAGGGAGAACAUGUGUCGAUUCCAUGGGACUUCCCCGUACAUACCGACAAAACUAUAAAAGCUAAUAAACCGGAUAUUAUUAUAAAAGAUCAGACAAAAAAGAUGUGUUUAUUAAUUGACAUGAGUAUUCCUUGGCAGCUCAAGGCGACUACAGUACUAGUGAUUGUAGGAUCUCUAGGAAUGAUAAAAAAAGGGUACUGAAGCAUAUUUGAAACUGAUACCAGGCUUACCAUCCCCACAGGAAGUGCAGAAAAUCGUGUUAACUGGAACGGCUCAUGUACUGAGAAGAGCAUUAUCGCCGUGAAAACCACAUCCAUUCAUGAAUUUAUUUAUUAAUUUUUAAAUACAUAUUUUUACCUAUGAAUUUGCGUGUGUAAUCUGGGAAUGCAUACAAUGAGCUUCUCUGCCCUAGGUAUACGGAAAACACUCGGCGAGAAACGGAAGAAAAUUUGAAAAAAGAAGGAAAAAGAUAAUAAUAAUAAUAAUAAUAAUAAUAAUAAUAAUAAUAAUAAUAAUGAAGGAAAUUGGAAUAGAGUGCCCAGUAGAACUGUUACAAAAGGUUUGCCUCCUUGGCAUGGCCAGAAUAAUCAGGAAAGUAUUAGAAUGCUGAAACGAACAAAUGGCAGGGUACCGUUGACUGAAGGUAGGAAACCCUCUACGUAUGCAAGACUCCAGGAGUUCCAACAAGAUUUGCGAUAAAAAGAAAUGAUAAUAGGCGCAGGAGUGGCUGUGUGGUAAGUAGCUUGCUACCCAACCACAUGGUUCCGGGUUCAGUCUCACUACGUGCAACCUUGGGAAGGUGUCUUCUGCUGUAGCCGUGGACCGACCAAAGCCUUGUGAGUGGAUUUGGUAGAUGGAAACUGAAAGAAGCCUGUCGCAUAUAUAUAUAUAUAUAUAUAUAUAUAUAUAAAAUCUUAUAAUAAAGGGCUAAAGAAGAUAUUUCUGAAGCCAAUAUACUGGUUAUCCACUUAUAAUCCACUUGUUACAGGAAAAUUGAACUGAAAGCAGGCAACUAACCUUUAGAAAAUAUAAAUUUCGUUAUCUUUAUAUUGAAUCAAUUUCGGAAUUAAUCCUUUAAAGGAUACAUUCUUCGUCAGUAGAGCUUACGAGGGAAUAUAAAUAAAACACUUACAUGCGUUUAUGGAAAAAGCAGAAGCUAAAAACAUAACUACAUAUAAGUACAUCAUUUAUAUCUAAAAAUAAAAAUUCCUUGGUCAGUCUCAGAAACAAUCUGUUGACUUUUCGCCGCUACAUAUUGUAGUGGUUACCAGUCCCCUGUAAGCAAGCAGUAAUGGGUUUACUACUAACAAAUAUAGGAUGAAGCCCCUUUCUCUACAGAAAAGAAUUCCAUCAGGAAGCGUGGCAGUAUAUUAAAAAAACCUUUACGGUUGAAAUAUGAACAUCUUAUAAUAAAGGGCUAAAGAAGAUAUUUCUGAAGCCAAUAUACUGGUUAUCCACUUAUAAUCCACUUGCUACAGGAAAAAUUGAACUGACAAUCAGGCAACUAACCUUUAGAAAAUUUAAAUUUCUUCAUCUCUAUAUUGAAUCAAUUUCGGAAUUAAUCCUAUAAAGGAUACAUUCUUCGUCAGUAGAGUAUAUAUAUAUAUAUAUAUAUAUAUAUAUAUAUAUAUAUGUACAUGUAUGUGUAUAUGUUUGUGUGUCUGUGUUUGUCCCCUUAGCAUUGCUUGACAACCGAUGCUGGUGUGUUUAUGUCCACGUCACUUAGCGGUUCGGCAAAGAGAGACCGAUAGAAUAAGUAUUGGGCUUCCAAAGAAUAAGUCCUGGGGUCGAUUUGCUCGACUAAAGGCGGUGCUCCAGCAUGUCCCGCAGUCAAAAUGACUGAAACAAGUAAAAGAGUAAAAGAGAGAGAGUAAGAGUAUAGUAAUAAUGACAAUAAUAAUGUUGAUAAUGGUGAUGAUGAUGAUGAUGAUGAUGAUGAUGAUUGAAAAAUUUGGGAAAUCAGAGCAAGUUCAAAGUAUCAAGGUUAACAAUGUACAACAAUUAUUACGUCAUUCCUCCCUCCCCACCCCAACGUUUCCAUACAUACACAUACACAUGCACUCCCUCUAUCACACACACACACAUACAUGGGCUCAUACAUUUAUAACACAGACUCAUACACAUAUACUCACACUCACACACACAUAAGCACAUGUUACACACUCACAAACAUAUACAAAUAUACCCGGUCCCAUAUAUAUAUAUAUAUAUAUAUAUAUAUAUAUAUAUAUAUUAUAUUAUAUUAUAUAUAUAUAUAUAUAUAUUAUAUUAUAUUAUAUAUAUAUAUAUAUAUAUAUAUAUAUACACACAUACACACACACACACACACACACACACACACACACACACACAUAUAUAUAUAUAUAUAUAUAUACAUAUAUAUAUAUACACACACACAAAAAUGCACACAAACGCAGACACACACACACACACAUAUAUAUAUAUAUACACACACACUCACAUAUACACUCAGAAACAUAUACAUAUAAUCACACACACAUAUACAUACAUAUAAAUAAUAUCUGCUUUUCCUUUCUCCCUAUGUCGUGUGUCUCAAGGCCAUCCGUCCACCCCCCUCGAUAAAACCACAACAGCAGCAGCAGCAGCGAUUAUGAAAAACAUGAGUUUAGACAUGUUCCUCACGCCUAUAACACGAACCGAUCUACCCGGGGUGCACUUGACAUCAGCGGCACACCAUAAACUGUGAAACGAUUUGAUACUACUAACAGAGACACGAACCUCUGCAUGGUCGUUCGACCUGCUAAAAAUAGCAGUCACAGCUCCCUCAAAACGCACACACUACUUGUGCUAUUAUUAUUAUUAUUAUUAUUAUUAUUAUUAUUAUUAUUAUUAUUAUUAUUAUUAUUAUUAUUAUUGUUAUUAUUAUUAUUAUUAUUGUCUUUUGAAGACUUUUGUUUUUGGAUAAUGUACAAAUAGGAGUUAAUUGCCUGAGUCAAAAAAAAUCAAAAAAAUCAGCGGCAUGGUCAUGCAUGGAGAGCCUAUGUUUAUAUGUCUGUUCGAUCAGACAGGAUCAAGACAGCAACAGUAACAACAACAACAACAACAACGAAAAUAACUAACAAUAGCAACAAAAUACAACCAGAACACCAACAGCAACAACAACAACAAAAUCAACAACGUCGACAACUCGACCUGCUAGAAAAAACAACCAAAAACCUACCUCAAAUUUACACGUCCCUUUACAACAAACUCUUUAAAAAAAUACGUAUUGAAAUUACAAUUUUAGCGGCUUUAGAUACACUAAACUACUUUUGUUUGAGAAUAUACCAUGAGAUGGUCACGAGUGGAGAGCUUUAGGCCUAGAUCUUCUUAAAGUGAGUAGACUUAGGAGUGGCGGUUGUGCUGGUGGGGAAAUCCUCAAGCAACAUCAUGAGAUAAAUACUUAACAAGAGUAAGUAAUUUUGCAAGCCUCUUCUUAUCUCUCUUCUGAAAUGAAUCUGUUGUUUUAUCUUCAAUCUAUAAACAAUAUCUUUACGCAACGAAGGCAGUGAGCUGGCGGAAACGUUAGCACGCCGGGCGAAAUGCUCUGCGGUAUUUCGUCUGCCGUUACGUUCUGAGUUCAAAUUCCGCCGAGGUCGACUUUGCCUUUCAUCCUUUCGGGGUCGAUUAAAUAAGUACCAUUUACGCACUGGGGUUGAUGUAAUCGACUUAAUACCUUUGUCUGUCCUUGUUUGUCCCCUCUGUGUUUAACCCCUUGUGGGUAAUAAAGAAUUAAGAAUCGUUAGCACGCCGGAUAAGUAAAGGGUAGUAAAGAAAUAGGUAUUUCGUCUGCCGUUAUGUUCUGAGUUCAAAUUCUGCCGAGGUCGACUUUCAUCCUUUCAUCCUUUCGGGGUCGAUUAAAUAAGUACCAGUUACGCACUGGGGUUGAUGUAAUAGACUUAAUCCGUUUGUCUGUCCUUGUUUGUCCUCUCUGUGUUUAGCCCCUUCGUGGGUAGUAAAGAAAUAGGUAUUUCGUCAGCCGCUACGUUCUGAGAUCAAAUAUCGCCGAGGUCGACUUUGCCUUUCAUCCUUUCGGGGUCGAUUAAAUAAGUAUCAGUUACGCACUGGGGUCGAUAUAAUCGACUAAAUGAUGGUGUAGAUCACAAUUAUAUCGAAAUUUAAUGUAAAAAAAAAGAAAAAAACUAUCUGUAUUAUAAUAUACUGAAUGUCUUUUUUUUUGAAGCUGUGCUGUGUUGCGUCAUAUCUAUGUUGAAAGACAAUCAGAAACACACAGACACACACAGAGGAAUAAACACACACACAAGGAAUGCACAAACACACACACACGCAAAGGAAUGCAUGGACUCAUACAUACAACCUACAUACAAACAAAAAAAUUAUCUCUAUAUUGUUACAUAAUGAAAGAUCUUUUGAAGCUGUGAAGCGGUAUGUUGACAGACUUGCACAUGAAAUUAACGCGUUUUAAUCAAAACUUGUUAGAUACUAUGGUGACAAUAUUACCCACCCAUCUGCCUGCCUACCUACCUACCUACCUACCUACCUACCUACCUACCUACCUACCUACCUACCUACCUACCUACCUACCUACCUACCUACCUACAUACCUACUUACUUACCUACCUACCUACACACACAUCACACAUAUAUAUAUACAUACAUAUAUAUAUAUAUAUAUAUAUAUAUAUAUAUAUAUAUGUGUGUGUAUAUAUAUAUAUGUAUAUAUAUAUAUGUAUAUAUGUGUGUAUAUAUAUGUUGUCAUUUUUGUUGAAUCUAUCCAGUAAACUAGAGUUUCGUUGAAAGGAAAAUGACGACGUUAUUCAAAAGAAGGUUUGCAUUUUCGAGCUCAGAGCUGAGAAAAGUCAUAAGGAGGAUACAGGAGGCAGUCGAAAAAGCCAUCUUCUAUAUAUGGCUGAAGCGGGAAGACUAAAAAUGGUUCGAAGGUUUGUACCACCAAACAGUUGCUCGGCUCUGGCUGCUAGAACUGAAACUAACACGACACUGCUGAAAGGCAGGUUUAAGAUUACACGCCCUUCUCCUCCUUUGGCCAGUUGAAGUUUAGACAGUGUCACGUGAUAACUAGCUGGUGCUGCCUGCUGGAGCCUACCGAAGAGUUUUUAAGGGGAAUUUGGCUGGAUGGUCAGUCACCCGCUGUCACUCGAAGAGGCCAGGGAACAGAAGAAAGAAGAGAGAAUACUGGAAUGACAGACACUCUCCUCAUAGUCCACAUUCUUGCAAGAUCGUCUUUUAGUAGUCUGUACUUUUCAAUCUCUUCCAGUUCUUUGCCACUUGCGCGUGCAUCUCCAGGUGUUGCAAUAUCUAUGAUCUUGGUCUCCUUUUUUAUCCUUUAUCUACCACAACAAUACCUGGUCUCGAAGUAUCGAUUAGGAAGUCACACUGGAUUGUUAUUAUUAUUAUUAUUAUUAUUAUUAUUAUUAUUAUUAUUAUUAAAAAAAUUUUUUUAAUUAAAAAAAAGAAUUUUUUAAUAUUAUUAUUAUUAUUAUUAUUAUUAUUAUUAUUAUUAUUAUUAUUAUUAUUAUUAUUAGUUUUUCUCCUUUCAUUUUUGUUUCCCUUUUUCCUUUCUUGCCAAUUGUCCCCCAACUCGUUGGGCAAAGAAACUCACUGUAUACAUUGAUGGGUCAUUAAACUAAACACAAACACUAUAUAUAUAUAUAUAUAUAUAUAUAUAUAUAUAUAUAUAUAUAUAUAUAUAUAUAUAUAUAAACAUAUAUGUAUGUAUAUGUAUAAUAUACAAAUAUCUAAGAUUGGAAAAAGAUUUUUUUCAAAAGUUGUUACCUAUUUAAUCUGUUGCAGUCAGUCGUUAUCUUCCACGUCGUUACCUGAGAACAUUCCUGCCGGACGUUAGCAGCCAGGUGUCAAGAACCAGGAAUCUUAGCCUUUUUGACACUCAACAACAAUAACAACAACGAUACAGCCAACUGGAUGUACGUUUGCAUUGUGGUGUCUGGUGAUUGGUGGUGCCAACGGAUUGCUUGAUUCGUCAGAAGUUUACAGGUAAGACGCAUCUCUAGUAUUGCAGCUGCUGCUACUACUACUACUACUACUACUACUACUACUGCGUGUCCGCUUGCCAAUGCUGUCUGUCGUUUUUGUCCAUUUCUUUAAUGCGCGUUUCUUCGUACAUCUGCGUUCAUACCACACACCUGGUCAUUAAUGUGGGGUGCUGACCGAACAGGUACGAUUGCGAAUACGAACAACCGGAAUGGCGUUUCUGCGAAGAGUCACUGAAGUAAUGUCAUUGGACAGGAUGUGUCGCUUGGUGAUCAGAGAAUUUGGCCAGGUCGAGUAGAAACUUUUCCACAAUUGAGUGGUCACGGAACCGGCACAUCUGUCAUGUAAUUAGAUCAUUGGUGGAUGCAGAAGUGUUACCCCAGUUGCCCUGGCGACACCCUUUCUAGCCGAACCGACAUUCAAAAAAUCGGGACCAAGAUUUAUUUCCAUCAGUUUCACCCUUUCAUUUGCAUCUAGUCUGCUACAACAAAGUUAGAAGACAUAAACAUGGGUCCAUUUGUUACGAAUUCCGAUUCCCACAUUAUAUAGUAUUUUUUUUCGAAACUUUUGGGCAACACCAAAAAGAAUAAAAUCUAGGACCCCCCUCUGUUAAAUUGUCGCCGGAAAGACUCGCAUGACGGAUACUUCAAACCCAGCCAACCAGUAGGAGACCCAGUGGUAGACCAAGAAAGAGAACUCUACCCCCACAACCUUCUCAGGGACGUAGUAGUCUGUCGUUAAUCGAUAUCACUUGUGUCUCAUACUGCUAAACGACACACACAAAAAAAAAAAAAACGUGAUAUCUCUUGAGCCUGAAGAUGAGGCAGUGGAGAUCUAGAAAAAUAGAUUAUAUUUUAUGGAGAUUUGUUUUUUUAAAUUAAUUGCCAGAAACUCAUUGGAAAUAUACAUAUAUUGUAAAAUACAAAUCAGAUGCUAUUAUUUCGAACGCACAAGUGCCGUUAGAACAACUGUUCUAAUUCUGCUUUAAAAAGCAUCUUUUUUUGGGGUCGUACAAUACACAUUUCGACGCUUAUAAAAAAUCAAAUGUUUGUGUGUAUUUAUAUAGACGUAUUUGUAUAUGUGUGUGUGUAUACACAUGCAUAUGUAUAUGUUAAAUGUAUUUAUGGAUGUGUCUAUAUAUGUAUGUGUAUGCAUGUAUUUAUUCAUUUAUUUAUGUAUGUAUGUUUUUCUUUCAGAAUAAUUUGGUUUUUUUCUUCUUGAAGAAUUCAAAGCUGGUCACAUAACAAAAUGACCAAAGUUUGGAGUCUGUAGAGAAGUCUAUUGGUUUUUGUGUGUGCGUAUACGCAUGUAUGUGAGUGUAUGUGUGUGUGGAUAAACUUCCGCCCAUGCAGUCGACAUACAUGUUACUUUAGUGCGUAAUUUGCGUACACUUCAUUGCUGUUUGUGUGUGUGUAUGUAUGUGUGUAUGUGUAUGUGUGAGUGUGGGUGCGUGUGGGCGCGCGCAUGCGCGUGUCUGUGUGCGUUCGUGUCUACGUGUGUGCGCGCGUAUAUAUAUAUAUAUAUAUAUAUAUAUAAAUUUGUCUCUACGUAUUCUCUAUAUACAUGUGAUAACAUAUACUUUUAGCCCAGGAACCACAAAUGGAGAAUCCCUGGAAUGUUUCGAAAUUUUUACUAUUCAUCUACUCAAUUGUAUUUGGCGAAUACAAAUUAGCUUGUUCUCUUCUUUCUUGGAUACUCCAGCAUUUCUCAGCUUCCAUCCAGAUUUCUUAUAACUUAGUCCAGUACCUUGCUUCAAAUGGUACUAGACUAUACAAGGUACUAAAGAAAAAAUCUACCAAUUCGAUAUAAAACCUGUAAAUAUUUUACAAAGUUUUUAUAGAUGUUCUCCUUUCCUCCAAUAUUUUUACAGAACAUUCUCAUCAGCCAAGGGACUUUUCCCGACCGUUGUGUAUGAUGUUUGCUCAUUGUCCCCACCCUACAUAUGUAUGUAUGUAUUAUUUUUAUCUUUUAGUAUUCUUUCUAAAAGAAAGGAGCCGGUUUCUUACGAAGAAACAAAUGCUGGCUCUCUGGAGUUUGGAUAACCGCGAUAAACAGCGAUAACAGAUACACAUCAAAUAUACUGAUGUAAGUCUUGCAUAUUUUUAUUGUUUCGCUUACAGAUUGCAUCUGUAAAGUUCGUGUUAGCCGAUCUUUUAUCUGCUUGAAUGUAGCAGCUUCUCCUGAUUGUCGCUUAGUUACG